GACGAACGCUGGCGGCGUGCUUAACACAUGCAAGUCGUACGGUAAGGCCCUUUCGGGGGUACACGAGUGGCGAACGGGUGAGUAACACGUGAGUAACCUGCCCACAACUUUGGGAUAACGCUAGGAAACUGGUGCUAAUACUGGAUAUGUGCUCCUGCUGCAUGGUGGGGGUUGGAAAGCUCCGGCGGUUGUGGAUGGACUCGCGGCCUAUCAGCUUGUUGGUGGGGUAGUGGCCUACCAAGGCGGCGACGGGUAGCCGGCCUGAGAGGGUGACCGGCCACAUUGGGACUGGGAUACGGCCCAGACUCCUACGGGAGGCAGCAGUGGGGAAUAUUGCACAAUGGGCGCAAGUCUGAUGCAGCAACGCCGCGUGCGGGAUGACGGCCUUCGGGUUGUAAACCGCUUUCAGCAGGGACGAAGCUUUUUGUGACGGUACCUGCAGAAGAAGCACCGGCUAACUACGUG
rnacentral:rRNA from 1 species